rnacentral:rRNA from 1 species
AUGAACGCUGGCGGCGUGCCAUAGGCAUGCAAGUCGAACGAAAGCUGUAGCAAUACAGUUUUAGUGGCAGACGGGUGAGUAACGCGUAGGAAUCUACCCCUAGGUAAAGCAUAGCCGGUCAAAGAUCGGGUGAUACUGUAUGGUCUCGCAAGAGUAAAGGUCUUAACUGGCCGCCAAGGGAGGAGCCUGCGUCCUAUCAGCUAGUUGGUGAGGUAAAAGCUUACCAAGGCAAUGACGGGUAGCUGGACUGAGAGGUCGAUCAGCCACAACUGCACUGAGACACGGGCAGUACACCUACGGGUGGCAGCAACCAGGAAUAUUGGGCAAUGGACGAAAGUCUGACCCAGCGACGCCGCGUGGAGGAAGAAGGCCUUCGGGUUGUAAACUCCUUUUGCCAAGCUUUUCACAGCUUGGAGAAUAAGCCCCUACUAACUACGUGCCAGAAGUCUCGGUGAUGCGUAGGGGGCAAGCGUUAUCCGGAUUUAUUGGGCGUAAAGUGUGCGUAGGCGUUUUUAUCAAGUCUCUACUUAAAUACCAAGGCUUACCCUUGGAGCUGGUAGGGAUACUGAUAGAAUUGAGGAUUGACAGGGGUGCUGGAACAGGUAGUGUAGCAGUGAAAUGCGUUGAUAUUACCUGGAACACCAAAGGCGAAGGCAGGCACCUGGGUUAUUCCUGACGCUGAGGCACGAAAGCUAGGGGAGCGAAACAGAUUAGAUACCUGUGUAGUCCUAGCCGUAAACGAUGUCUGCUAGGUAUUUGUUCGCAAAGAUCAUAAGCGAAAGUUUGUGCUUUUUGCGAGCAAGUGCCGCAGCUAACGCGUUAAGCAGACCGCCUGGGAGUACGGCCGCAAGGCUAAAACUCAAAGGAAUUGACGGGGACCCGCACAACCAGUGGAGCGUGUGGUUCAAUUCGAGACAAAACGAAAAACCUCACCAAGGCUUGACAUGCUACCGUACAGCCUCCUGGAAACAGGAAGCAAUCCGCAAGGAUGGUAGCACAGGUGUUGCAUGGCUGUCGUCAGCUCGUGCCGUGAGGUGUUCCCUUAAGUGGGGAAACGAGCGCAACCCCCAUCCAAUGUUAAAUGAUCAUUGGAAACUGACUCUAUUUUGUAGAGAAGGAAGGAGGGGAAGACGUCAAGUCAGCACGGCCCUUAUGCCUUGGGCUACACACACACUACAAUGGCGAAUAACAACGAGCUGCAAGCCGGUAACGGCAAGCGAAUCUCUAAAAUUUCGCCUCAGUUCAGAUUGAGGUCUGCAACUCGACCUCAUGAAGCCGGAAUUGGUAGUAAUCGCAGAUCAGCACGCUGCGGUGAAUACGUUCUCGGGUCUUGUACACACCGCCCGUCAAGGCAGCAAAGUCGGUAGCUAUCGAACACUGACUGUUCAGACGGUGGAGAUAGAGAUUGGCGAUGAGCUU